ACAAGAGCCUCACUUGGACCAGAGAGAGAGAGAGAGAGAGAGAGAGAGAGAGAGAGAGGAGAGAGAGGCUUACUUCAACUCAGCAGGCUACUCUGAGUGUCUGGCCAGGUAUAGAGGGGAAGGUAGUGGCUGUCGCUGGAAGAAGGAAAGUGGACUCCGGCUCAGAUGACCAUGAUAAAGCUUGGUUUCCUGCUGUUUAUCAUUGUGGUCACCAGAAGUUGCAGUGCAUUUAAAGAGAACCCGGACACCAACAGCCGGGCCAAUCCUGUGUCUUCCUCUCUGUUCAGAAGCUGCAAGGAAAUUAAGCAGGAGGUCACUGGGGCACGAGGUGA